CAAUAGCGUAUAUUAAAGUUGUUGCAGUUAAAAAGCUCGUAGUUGGAUUUCUGGCCGAGUGUCCCUAGGCCAGCAUGACGUUUGGUCCUAGGCGCUCUGCCAUCCUUCUGUCAACCUUCGCCUUCUUCAUUGGGGGCGCUGGGGCUCAGAUAUUUUACCUUGAGAAAAUUAGAGUGUUUCAGGCAGGCUUUCGCCGGAAUACAUUAGCAUGGAAUAAUGGAAAAGGACUUCAACCUCUUCUGUUGGUCUGAGAGGCUGUAGUAAUGAUUAAUAGGGAUAGUUGGGGGCAUUCAUAUUCCAUUGUCAGAGGUGAAAUUCUUGGAUUAACGGAAGAUGAACUACUGCGAAAGCAUCUGCCAAGGAUGUUUUCAUUGAUCAAGAACGAAAGUUAGGGGAUCGAAGAUGAUCAGAU
rnacentral:rRNA from 1 species